CCAUCCCACACCCUCGGGGCCCUAACUGUCAGGAAGUACAUCCACCUUGAAUCUUGGCUCCCUGAGCUUUGCUCCACUGAAACACAUCCUGCCCUCCACCACAGGAGAUAAAAGGUCACAACCCAACUCUGGGUGACACCCCCUCACAUACUUGUAUGUCUCCCUCUGAGUCUCCUCUUUUCAAAGCUGAAGAGACCCAGUUCCCUCAGU